UUUUGGCGCCGGGGGUGCUUGCAUCUAGCAGGCUGAGAGAGUCCCUUAAAACCUGAUCAGGGUAAUACCUGCGAAGGGAGUGUGCCGGUAAAUUUUU
rnacentral:ncRNA from 2 species